CCCGACCUGAGACUUCGAGCUGGAAAGUAGAAGAAAUAGAAUACUGAGACCAAAACCCUUAAAGGUCGGCCUCAGUGAUGGAUGACACCUCUCCCCCAUGACUGAAAAAACUUCGACGACUAGCUGAAGAGGCUCUCAUGGCGGUGGGUUGAGGACCCUACUCAGAUCCUAAUCACGAAGCAAACAACUGAGAGCCCUAGUCACC
rnacentral:lncRNA from 1 species